ensembl:lncRNA
AAUUUUAUUCUAGUGGGAUGGCAGUGGAGCGCAGACAAGAAGAAGGUAUGGGAUUGGAAUGAAAACUGACCUCUUCCAGUCCUGUGGCCACUGCUGAGUUUUCCAAGUUUGCUGGCAUAGUGAGUACAGCACUUUCACAGUAUCAUCUUUUAAGAUUUGAAAUAACUCAACUGGAAUUCCAUCACCUCCACUAGCUUUGUUCAUAGUGAUGCUUUCUAAGGCCACCUCACUUCACAUUCCAGGAUGUCUGGCCCUAGAAGCUGAGAAGCUAAGCAGAUCUUUUGUUGUCUUGGAGCUAAGGGAAAAGAAAAAAUGGAGUAGAUGAAUGACCAUAAAGAAGGCACUGCCCUCAACUUUGUGAUCAGCACCACGCCAUGUCCAAAAUCUGCUUGCCAGCCUAGAGGAAAGAGAACAGGGGCCCAGGACCAGCAACUUGACUUUUAAUUUGGAACUGACCCAGAAGUCAUGUAUAUAAUUUUUGCUCUCAUUUCCUUAAAGAGAAUGGAGUCAGAUAGCCACGCAGGUUGCCACAAGGCUGGGAAAUGUGAUCUCCAGCUUUGAUGCCACUUUUCCAGCUUUGACUCUCUUUCUGUGAAAAGAGCCAGGGAUUAAAAUUUGGUGUAAGUUAGUCAUCUCUGCUGGGCUUCCCAAGUGGCUCAUCAGGUAAAGAAUCCCGUUAACACAGGAGAUAGAUGCAGAAGGUGUGGGUUGGAUCCCUGGGUGGGGAAGAUACUUUUGGAGGAGGAAACGACAACCCACUCCAGUAUGUCUGCCUGGAAAAUUCCAUGGACAGAGGAGCCUGCUGGGCUACAGUUCAUGGGGUCACAAAGAGUCAGGCAUGACUGAGCAUACACAUACACACACACACACACACACACAUGCAUGCACACACGCACACAGUGAACUCUGCCACAGAGACUAUAUUCAUUUAUUUUUAUAAAUCUUGAAAUAUUUUUCAAAGUUGCUG